rnacentral:rRNA from 1 species
GACGAACGCUGGCGGCGUGCUUAACACAUGCAAGUCGAACGGAAAGGCCCUGCUUUUGUGGGGUGCUCGAGUGGCGAACGGGUGAGUAACACGUGAGUAACCUGCCCUUGACUUUGGGAUAACUUCAGGAAACUGGGGCUAAUACCGGAUAGGAGCUCCUGCUGCAUGGUGGGGGUUGGAAAGUUUCGGCGGUUGGGGAUGGACUCGCGGCUUAUCAGCUUGUUGGUGGGGUAGUGGCUUACCAAGGCUUUGACGGGUAGCCGGCCUGAGAGGGUGACCGGCCACAUUGGGACUGAGAUACGGCCCAGACUCCUACGGGAGGCAGCAGUGGGGAAUAUUGCACAAUGGGCGGAAGCCUGAUGCAGCAACGCCGCGUGCGGGAUGACGGCCUUCGGGUUGUAAACCGCUUUCGCCUGUGACGAAGCGUGAGUGACGGUAAUGGGUAAAGAAGCACCGGCUAACUACGUGCCAGCAGCCGCGGUGAUACGUAGGGUGCGAGCGUUGUCCGGAUUUAUUGGGCGUAAAGGGCUCGUAGGUGGUUGAUCGCGUCGGAAGUGUAAUCUUGGGGCUUAACCCUGAGCGUGCUUUCGAUACGGGUUGACUUGAGGAAGGUAGGGGAGAAUGGAAUUCCUGGUGGAGCGGUGGAAUGCGCAGAUAUCAGGAGGAACACCAGUGGCGAAGGCGGUUCUCUGGGCCUUUCCUGACGCUGAGGAGCGAAAGCGUGGGGAGCGAACAGGCUUAGAUACCCUGGUAGUCCACGCUGUAAACGGUGGGUACUAGGUGUGGGGUCCAUUCCACGGGUUCCGUGCCGUAGCUAACGCUUUAAGUACCCCGCCUGGGGAGUACGGCCGCAAGGCUAAAACUCAAAGGAAUUGACGGGGCCCCGCACAAGCGGCGGAGCAUGCGGAUUAAUUCGAUGCAACGCGUAGAACCUUACCUGGGUUUGACAUGGAUCGGGAGCGCUCAGAGAUGGGUGUGCCUCUUUUGGGGUCGGUUCACAGGUGGUGCAUGGCUGUCGUCAGCUCGUGUCGUGAGAUGUUGGGUUAAGUCCCGCAACGAGCGCAACCCUUGUUCACUGUUGCCAGCACGUUAUGGUGGGGACUCAGUGGAGACCGCCGGGGUCAACUCGGAGGAAGGUGGGGAUGACGUCAAGUCAUCAUGCCCCUUAUGUCCAGGGCUUCACGCAUGCUACAAUGGCUGGUACAGAGAGUGGCGAGCCUGUGAGGGUGAGCGAAUCUCGGAAAGCCGGUCUCAGUUCGGAUUGGGGUCUGCAACUCGACCUCAUGAAGUCGGAGUCGCUAGUAGUCGCAGAUCAGCAACGCUGCGGUGAAUACGUUCCCGGG